rnacentral:rRNA from 1 species
AGAGUUUGAUCCUGGCUCAGGAUGAACGCUAGCUACAGGCUUAACACAUGCAAGUCGAGGGGCAGCAUGGUCUUAGCUUGCUAAGGCCGAUGGCGACCGGCGCACGGGUGAGUAACACGUAUCCAACCUGCCGUCUACUCUUGGACAGCCUUCUGAAAGGAAGAUUAAUACAAGAUGGCAUCAUGAGUCCACAUGUUCACAUGAUUAAAGGUAUUCCGGUAGACGAUGGGGAUGCGUUCCAUUAGAUAGUAGGCGGGGUAACGGCCCACCUAGUCUUCGAUGGAUAGGGGUUCUGAGAGGAAGGUCCCCCACAUUGGAACUGAGACACGGUCCAAACUCCUACGGGAGGCAGCAGUGAGGAAUAUUGGUCAAUGGACGAGAGUCUGAACCAGCCAAGUAGCGUGAAGGAUGACUGCCCUAUGGGUUGUAAACUUCUUUUAUAAAGGAAUAAAGUCGGGUAUGCAUACCCGUUUGCAUGUACUUUAUGAAUAAGGAUCGGCUAACUCCGUGCCAGCAGCCGCGGUAAUACGGAGGAUCCGAGCGUUAUCCGGAUUUAUUGGGUUUAAAGGGAGCGUAGGCGGACGCUUAAGUCAGUUGUGAAAGUUUGCGGCUCAACCGUAAAAUUGCAGUUGAUACUGGGUGUCUUGAGUACAGUAGAGGCAGGCGGAAUUCGUGGGGUAGCGGUGAAAUGCUUAGAUAUCACGAAGAACUCCGAUUGCGAAGGCAGCUUGCUGGACUGUAACUGACGCUGAUGCUCGAAAGUGUGGGUAUCAAACAGGAUUAGAUACCCUGGUAGUCCACACAGUAAACGAUGAAUACUCGCUGUUUGCGAUAUACAGUAAGCGGCCAAGCGAAAGCGUUAAGUAUUCCACCUGGGGAGUACGCCGGCAACGGUGAAACUCAAAGGAAUUGACGGGGGCCC